rnacentral:rRNA from 1 species
UACAGAGGUGGCAAGCGUUGUUCGGAAUUACUGGGCGUAAAGGGCGCGUAGGCGGUUCGAUAAGUCCCGUGUGAAAUCCCUCGGCUCAACUGAGGAACUGCACGGGAAACUGACGGGCUUGAGUUCGGGAGAGGGAAGCGGAAUUCCGGGUGUAGCGGUGAAAUGCGUAGAUAUCCGGAGGAACACCGGUGGCGAAGGCGGCUUCCUGGACCGACACUGACGCUGAUGAGCGAAAGCCAGGGGAGCAAACCGGGGAGUUAG